rnacentral:rRNA from 1 species
UACGUAGGGUGCGAGCGUUGUCCGGAAUUAUUGGGCGUAAAGGGCUCGUAGGCGGUCUGUCGCGUCGGGAGUGAAAACUCAGGGCUUAACCCUGAGCCUGCUUCCGAUACGGGCAGACUAGAGGUAUGCAGGGGAGAACGGAAUUCCUGGUGUAGCGGUGAAAUGCGCCAGAUAUCAGGAGGAACACCGGUGGUGUAGACGGCUCUCUGGACCGUAACUGACGCUGAGGAGCGAAAGCUAGGGGAGCAAACGGG